rnacentral:rRNA from 1 species
GACGAACCGUGCGAACGUUAUUCGGAAUCACUGGGCUUAAAGCGCGUGUAGGCGGGCCGGCACGUCGGUCGCUGAAAUCCCCCGGCUCAACCGGGGAAGUGGCGCCGAUACGACCGGCCUCGAGGGACGUAGGGGGGGCUGGAACUUCCGGUGGAGCGGUGAAAUGCGUUGAGAUCGGAAGGAACGCCCGUGGCGAAAGCGGGCCCCUGGACGUCCACUGACGCUGAGACGCGAAAGCCAGGGAGGCGAACGGGG